rnacentral:sRNA from 4 species
UGUAUCUGAAGUCUGACGAGGAUGAGAACCUCCGGGGGCAAGAGGUUCGACUCGAGCGAAGCGAGAGAACGUUGCGUCAGCAACGGCCC